rnacentral:rRNA from 1 species
UACGGAGGGGGCUAGCGUUGUUCGGAAUUAUUGGGCGUAAAGGGCGCGUAGGCGGCCGAAUAAGUCUGACGUGAAAUCCCCCGGCCCAACCGGGGAACUGCGUUUGAUACUGUUCGGCUCGAGUCCGGGAGAGGGUAGUGGAAUUCCCAGUGUAGCGGUGAAAUGCGUAGAUAUUGGGAGGAACACCGGUGGCGAAGGCGCUCUGCUGGACCAUAACUGACACUCAGGGACGAAAGCUAGGGGAGCGAAUGGG